UACGGAGGAUGCGAGCGUUAUCCGGAUUUAUUGGGUUUAAAGGGUGCGCAGGCGGCGUGUCAAGUCAGCGGUAAAAUGUCGAGGCUCAACCCCGGACGGCCGUUGAAACUGGCGUGCUCGAGUUGGAGAGAAGUAUGCGGAAUUCGUGGUGUAGCGGUGAAAUGCAUAGAUAUCACGAAGAACCCCGAUUGCGAAGGCAGCAUACCGGCUCCACACUGACGCUGAGGCACGAAAGCGUGGGUAUCGAACAGG
rnacentral:rRNA from 1 species